GACUGUGGCUUCCUGGCAGCAAUUGCCCUGGGCUUCCCUGAGUUGCAUCCAUUUCUGCAAAGUGGGGGAUUUGAACAACAUGGAUCUCUCUCAGUAGGACCCAGGAGGAGGAAAUGGGAUGAGCCAUGGGUCAGCAGUGUAUACCAGGAUUGAAUGAAGAAGUACCUACUGUCAGAGAAAGAAGUUGCAAAUACCCAGGAGGGAAAGGCUGAAUGUGCUUUAUGGUGUUGGAUUAAAGUAGGACAUACCAGUGUAAAUUCACAUUUAUUUUAAGAGACAGAGAGAGGCAGAGACACAGGCAGAGGGAGAAGCAGGCACCACACAGAGAGCCCGACGUGGGACUCGAUCCCGGGUCUCCAGGAUCACGCCAAACCGCUGCACCACCGGGACUGCCCUGAUUUCUUAUUUUUGUUAAAUGUGCCAUGGUUAGAUGUUAACAUUGGAAGAAGAUGAGUGAAGGAUAUCUGAGAGGAAGAGGGGGAGAAGCAGAGGAAGAGGGAGAAAGAGAAUCUCAAGCAGGCUUC